GAUGAACGCUGGCGGCGUGCCUAAUACAUGCAAGUCGAGCGAACAGACGAGGAGCUUGCUCCUCUGACGUUAGCGGCGGACGGGUGAGUAACACGUGGAUAACCUACCUAUAAGACUGGGAUAACUUCGGGAAACCGGAGCUAAUACCGGAUAAUAUAUUGAACCGCAUGGUUCAAUAGUGAAAGACGGUUUUGCUGUCACUUAUAGCUGGAUCCGCGCCGCAUUAGCUGGUUGGUAAGGUAACGGCUUACCAAGGCGACGAUGCGUAGCCGACCUGAGAGGGUGAUCGGCGACACUGGAACUGAGACACGGACCAGACUCCUACGGGAGGCAGCAGUAGGGAAUCUUACGCAAUGGGCGAAAGCCUGACGGAGCAACGCCGCGUGAGUGAUGAAGGUCUUCGGAUCGUAAAACUCUGUUAUGAGGGAAGAACAAAUGUGUAAGUAACUAUGCACGUCUUGACGGUACCUAAUCAGAAAGCCACGGCUAACUACGUG
rnacentral:rRNA from 1 species